AUUAAAAUGUAUUACCGGCACGCAAAACCUUAAAUUAAAGUGAAUAAAUGAAGACUCUGCCUACCACUUCUGAAAGGUUGCCUACCCCUGGUAUAGUAUAUGAUCUAUUUAUUUUAAUAAGAGCAUUGAGGAAAUAGGAUAAGCAUUAUUAUCCACUUUUAGUAAAUUUCUACUGGAAUGGCAGACAUGGCUACAUUUUACUAUUAUAAAUGCUGUCUAACGUGAAAGCUGCUGUGGCUUUAAGUAUUGUAAAUCUUAUGCUACAGAGAGUUUAGCUGACCUAUCAGAAAGGUAUGUUAGCCGUUUGUGGUCUUGAAUAGUAACAGGGCAGCUGUAAUAGAACAUCUCAAAGGUUGCUUUGACCUGAGAAGCAGAGACUUCAGAAGCAGCACAGGUUAAGUAAUGUCAUCUUUCCACUUUCAAUCAUCAAGAACAGAUUGUUUAAACAGGACUGAAACUUGGAAUAAAGUGGAGAUGUGUGCUUUUCAAAAGAACCAGAACUACAGGAAGUCUUAUCCUUAAAUAUAGGGGGAAUAUCACCAUAGCUGUUUACAGGUGAAAAUCUUUCUGUAUUUUCCAUCACUCCUACUCUGGUCGUUGAAAGCAGUUCUAUGGAAUGGCAUCUCUCCACAGUGUUUGAUAUUCCUUGAAUCUGACUGCGAGAUGCGCCAGACCUAUCAGAAGAAUGGGCCCUCCGAAGAUAACGUGAAUGUGGCCUCUCUUCAGUAAGUUGCAUUGUUCUUCCCCUACCACUUAUGCCAGUUUCUUUUCCCUGAAUUCCCCAAUGAUUAUAAGAACUGCUUCCAUCCACAGAUGAAAUGUCACUGGAAUUCUUAUUUUUAGGAAAUACAGUCAUUUUAUUUGGGAGUGGCUGACCAACCAAGAGCUUUUUCUUUUCCUUCAAGCAACCACUUACACUGACACUGGAAGAGCCAGUAAAGGCUGUAGAGAUUGUGGCAUUUCCACUGUCCAUUGAAUCCUCCACGGUUCCUGAAUCUUUACUUCGUGCCGAGUUAUAUCUGGACAUAAAAGGAUGAUCCAGUACAGAUGAAAGACUUAAACGAUCUGCUGGGUUUUUACGAAGUAACCGGUGUACAAGGUCUUGAGCUUCCCCUGACAAACAAGUUGGCAUUUCAUAAUCUGCUAAUACUACUUUAUUCAAUGUGUUCUUGACUGUGUCAGUGUCAAAAGGUGGUUUCCCAAUAAGAAGAGUAUAGAACAUACACCCCAAAGACCACACAUCAGAUUCAAGUCCAUGUGCACUCCGUGUGGCUAUUUCUGGAGAAAUGUAAUUAGGAGUUCCACACAUUGUGUAAUGCUUUUCAUGAGGCAUUUUCAAUUGCGUUGCUAGUCCAAAAUCAGCAAUCUUGAUGUUCAUAUUACUGGUGAGUAGAAGGUUAGAAAGGGUGAGGUCCCGAUGUAAUAUUCCAUGAGAAUGAAGAUACAACAUCCCUGUGAUAAUCUGAUGCAUAAAGUGUCGCGCUGUUAGAACACAAAAUAUAAAAUCUGGUUUUAGUAGAAUAUUUGAAACAGUAAGUAUCAAAACAUGACUUUUUAAGUAUCUUCUUAUCUGCCCCAAUCUGACCCAUUUAUUAGGAUCAAAUUACUACUAAAAAUGUGUAAUGUAACUAUCAUUAUAUUAAAGAGAUUAGAGGAGAGAUUAUUUGCUGUUACCAUACUGCUUAGCUGCCUCACCAAGACUGUGUGUUUCUAAGGCAAAUCCAUGAAACACGGAAAUGGCGCUUGUAAUCCAGUAAUCAAAUCUAUUUCUUUGCCACUGUGCAAAACCACACUGAAUCAAGAACUUGAGUACAAAUUGAAAAUAUUUAAAACUGGCCCUAGAUGCUUUGACAACUUGUUAACAUGGGAUUUUAUUUUUGAACACCCUAGAACAGUGGCUUUUAAACUGUGGUCCGCAGACCGCUGGGGGUCUACAGGCUACAUCUAAUGGGUCUGCAAAAGGUUGUUGUUACCAGAGAAGGGUGGUUUUCAGCCUGUGGUCCAUGGGGCUCCGCAGACUAAGUCUAAAAUUUCCAAACGGGUCAAACAACUCCAUUUGCAAAUGUUUAGGGGUCCGCAAAUAAAAAAAGGUUGAAAAAAAAAAUCACUGCCCUAGAAGUUAGUAUAUAAAGCAGAUUCCUAGAACCAAUUUGUUUUGUGUGAUGUAUAGGUUAUAUAUACACA